rnacentral:rRNA from 1 species
CAUGAACGCAGCCUGAUGCAGCCAUGCCGCGUGUAUGAAGAAGGCCUUCGGGUUGUAAAGUACUUUCAGCGGGGAGGAAGGGAGUAAAGUUAAUACCUUUGCUCAUUGACGUUACCCGCAGAAGAAGCACCGGCUAACUCCGUGCCAGCAGCCGCGGUAA